rnacentral:misc_RNA from 1 species
GAUCAUUAACGAGUUAGGGUCUUCUCAGGCCCGACCUCCCAACCCUUUGUUUACCCGACCCAUGUUGCUUCGGCGGGCCCGCCGUUUCGACGGCCGCCGGAGGACCGCCUAUUCAGGUCCUCUGGCCCGCGCCCGCCGGUAGCCAAUUCUACCAAACUCUUGAAUCAAAUCGUGUCCAAUGUCUGAGUAUAUUACAAAAUAAAAGCAAAACUUUCAACAACGGAUCUCUUGGUUCUGGCAUCGAUGAAGAACGCAGCGAAAUGCGAUAAGUAAUGCGAAUUGCAGAAUUCCAGUGAGUCAUCGAAUCUUUGAACGCACAUUGCGCCCUUUGGUAUUCCGAAGGGCAUGCCUGUUCGAGCGUCAUUAUCACCCCUCAAGCCCCCCGGCUUGGUGUUGGACGGUCUGGUCGAGCGUUUCCGCGCGACCCCUCCCAAAGACAAUGACGGCGGCCUGGUUGGACCCCCGGUACACGGAGCUUCUUCACUGAGCACGUAUCGGUUUCAAGGUGUCCCCGGGACCCGGUCGACCUCUCUUGCUCCCCUGCGGGAGUGGGAGAGAACCCCCCUUUUUAUCA